UAUGACGGUACCCUUUCGAAUAAGAGGUUGCUAACUCUGUGCCAGCAGCAGCGGUAAUACAGAGACCUCGAGCGUUAUCCGGAUUUACUGGGCGUAAAGCGUCUGUAGGGGGUUUGUUAAGUUCCAAGUAAAAUCUUAAGGCUCAACUUUAAGUUCGCUUGGAAAACUAAUAAACUGGAGUCCAGCAGAGGUGCAUGGAACUUGCGGUGUAGGAGUGAAAUCCGUUGAUAUCGCAAGGAACACCAAAGGCGAAGGCAUUGCACUGGGCUGGUACUGACCCUGAGAGACGAAAGCGUGGGGAGCAAAACGGAUUAGAUACCCGUGUAGUCCACGCCGUAAACGAUGGAUACUAGAUGUUCGGGGAUUCGACCCCCUGGGUGUCACAGCUAACGCGUUAAGUAUCCCGCCUGGGAAGUACGGCCGCAAGGCUAAAACUCAAAGGAAUAGACGGGGAUCCGCACAAGCGGUGGAGCGUCUGGUUUAAUUUGAUAGUAAGCAAUGGACCUCACCAAGGUUUGACAUCCUAUGACAACCCUGGAAACAGGGCUUCCUUCGGGCAUAGUGACAGGUGCUGCAUGGUCGUCGUCAGUUCGUGCCGUGAGGUGUUCCGUUAAGUCGGGAAACGAACGAAACCCUCGUCGCAUGUUACAAAUUUCAUGCGAGACUGCCCGGGUCAACCGGGAGGAAGGCGGGGAUGACGUCAGAUCAGCAUGGCCCUUAUACCUUGGGCUACACAGGCGCUACAAUGGCCGGUACAAAGGGUUGCAAAACCGCGAGAUGAAGCUAAUCCCAUAAAGCCGGUCCAAGUUCGGAUUGGAGGCUGCAACUCGCCUCCAUGAAGUUGGAAUCGCUAGUAAUCGUGGAUCAGCCAUACCACGGUGAAUACGUUCCCGGAUCUUGUACUCACCGCCCGUCACACCAAGAGAGUUGGUAGC
rnacentral:rRNA from 1 species